rnacentral:rRNA from 1 species
AGAGUUUGAUCCUGGCUCAGGACGAACGCUGGCGGCGUGCCUAAUACAUGCAAGUAGAACGCUGAAGAGAGGAGCUUGCUCUUCUUGGAUGAGUUGCGAACGGGUGAGUAACGCGUAGGUAACCUGCCUUGUAGCGGGGGAUAACUAUUGGAAACGAUAGCUAAUACCGCAUAACAAUGGAUGACACAUGUCAUUUAUUUGAAAGGGGCAAUUGCUCCACUACAAGAUGGACCUGCGUUGUAUUAGCUAGUAGGUGAGGUAACGGCUCACCUAGGCGACGAUACAUAGCCGACCUGAGAGGGUGAUCGGCCACACUGGGACUGAGACACGGCCCAGACUCCUACGGGAGGCAGCAGUAGGGAAUCUUCGGCAAUGGGGGCAACCCUGACCGAGCAACGCCGCGUGAGUGAAGAAGGUUUUCGGAUCGUAAAGCUCUGUUGUAAGUCAAGAACGAGUGUGAGAGUGGAAAGUUCACACUGUGACGGUAGCUUACCAGAAAGGGACGGCUAACUACGUGCCAGCAGCCGCGGUAAUACGUAGGUCCCGAGCGUUGUCCGGAUUUAUUGGGCGUAAAGCGAGCGCAGGCGGUUUGAUAAGUCUGAAGUUAAAGGCUGUGGCUCAACCAUAGUUCGCUUUGGAAACUGUCAAACUUGAGUGCAGAAGGGGAGAGUGGAAUUCCAUGUGUAGCGGUGAAAUGCGUAGAUAUAUGGAGGAACACCGGUGGCGAAAGCGGCUCUCUGGUCUGUAACUGACGCUGAGGCUCGAAAGCGUGGGGAGCGAACAGGAUUAGAUACCCUGGUAGUCCACGCCGUAAACGAUGAGUGCUAAGUGUUGGAGGGUUUCCGCCCUUCAGUGCUGCAGCUAACGCAUUAAGCACUCCGCCUGGGGAGUACGACCGCAAGGUUGAAACUCAAAGGAAUUGACGGGGGCCCG